UCCAGGGUAGCCUAGUGGACAUGGCAUCUGCCCGGUAAGCGGAACAUUGUGGGUUCACAUUCCUUUUUUUGUGUUGAA
rnacentral:tRNA from 1 species